UACGUAGGUGGCGAGCGUUGUCCGGAUUUACUGGGCGUAAAGAGCGCGCAGGCGGUCGUUCAAGUCGCGUGUGAAAGCCCCCGGCUCAACUGGGGAGGGUCACGCGAUACUGAUCGACUCGAAGGCAGGAGAGGGAAGUGGAAUUCCCGGUGUAGUGGUGAAAUGCGUAGAGAUCGGGAGGAACAUCAGUGGCGAAGGCGGCCAUCUGGGACAACACUGACGCUGAGGCACGAAAGCGUGGGGAGCAAACAGGG
rnacentral:rRNA from 1 species